rnacentral:tRNA from 2 species
GGGAGGUUAACCGGUAAAUGGUAGCCGCAAAGACUGUAAAUCUUUUCUCUCUGAGACUGGGGGUUCGAGUCCCUCACCUCCCA